GCUUCAAAGAAACAGCAUGACUGGGGAUUUUGAGCCUCGUCUGUGCACAAGGAGGAUGUGGGUUGGAGGCAUCUGGGUGGCCUGCUGGGCGGGAUUGCUAGAAUGGAAGUCAACAUUCAAUAUACGAAGGACGUAGUCUGCCUAAGGGUUUCCACAACCUUCCACUGCACAAAAUCCUCAUCCCACAGGUGGCGCUCUCUCAGCACACGGUUCAAAACCACCGAGGGGGGCGCUUCCACCUCCACAGAGGCCUUCCACAGCUUCAGCGGGUGCCUGUCUCCCACCUUAGGAAAGACAUCAUCGAAGGCUAAAGAGGUCAACUAGUCCCAACCCACACCCAGCAUUCUUCACGGGACCUUCAGAAACUACCCCGAUGAUGUAACUUGGAAGACUGAUUCUGCACACCUCAGGUUGACCACGUCGUUCAGAAAGCACAGCAGCGUCUGCAAGACCUCUCUGUUCUCGUCGGCCAGCAGCAGGAUGGCCGCCUGCACCGCCUGCAGCCGCUGCUCCUUGGGGACAUCUAUGGAAAGGUGGGUGCCAG